CCUACGGGUGGCAGCAGUCGAGAAUCAUUCACAAUGGGGGAAACCCUGAUGGUGCGACGCCGCGUGGGGGAAUGAAGGUCUUCGGAUUGUAAACCCUUGUCAUGUGGGAGCAAAUGAAAAUGUUAGAACCAUAAGCGGAAGAGACGGCCAACUCUGUGCCAGCAGCCGGGGUAAUACGGCGGGCUCAAGCGUUGUUCGGAAUCACUGGGGGGAAAGGGUGCGUAGGCUGUUUCGUAAGUCGUGUGUGAAAGGCGAGGGCGCAAACCGCGAACGGCACAUGAUAUUGCGAGACUAGAGUAAUGGAGGGGGAGCUGGAAUUCUCGGUGUAGGAGUGAAAUGCGUAGAUAUCGAGAGGAACACUCGUGGCGAAGGCGAGUUCCUAGACAUUAACUGACGCUGAGGCGCGAAGGCCAGGGGAGCGAAAGGGAUUAGAUACCCCAGUAGUC
rnacentral:rRNA from 1 species